rnacentral:rRNA from 1 species
UCAGAGUUUAUCUGGCUCAGGACGAACGCUGGCGGCGCGCCUAACACAUGCAAGUCGAACGAGAGAGAAGGAGCUUGCUUCUUCGAUCGAGUGGCGAACGGGUGAGUAACGCGUGAGGAACCUGCCUCAAAGAGGGGGACAACAGUUGGAAACGACUGCUAAUACCGCAUAAGCCCACGGAUCGGCAUCGAUCUGAGGGAAAAGGAGCAAUCCGCUUUGAGAUGGCCUCGCGUCCGAUUAGCUAGUUGG